rnacentral:lncRNA from 1 species
AAAUCCACCAUUUUUCACUUCUAACAAAAUUCAUAUAAUCCAUACCCCAAUUACAAGUCAAAGAAUGGAUGAGCCACCUUCUAAAAUUCCGUCGAGGCAAAAAAGAGCCGGCGAAACUAUGUCAAAGAAGAACACAAACGGUGAAAUCCAAAAGAGAGAAGAAGUCGGACUGCGUAAUUAGAAAUUUUCACCCAAAAUUCGUCAUUUUUUUAUUGUCUUUCUCUUUUCUGUAUCUGUCUUCCAUUUUGAGAGAGGGAAUUAAUGUGAAAGAAAAGACUGAUAGAAAAAUUUUGAUAAAAUUUAUUGUUUUUCUUUGUUUUUCACCAUUGCUGCGUAGCUUUGGAACAAACAGAUGAAGAAGCGGGGAAAGAUUGGAGUGGGGGAGAAAGAAAAGAAGGAAGGGGGGGGGGGAGCCAGAACCCUACCGAUAAAUCCUCGCCAAAAUCAAACUCCAAAACCAACAUCCAAUCCUUCAAGCAGGAUUCAUCAUCUUCUUCGGCUUCCAAAGCACUAACCGGCGAGCAAAAAAUCGAUGAUUUAAACCUUCCGCGACAGGAGGUGAUUCGCCGCCUUAGGUUUCUGAAACAACCAGUGACUUUGUUCGGAGAAGUUGAUGUGGCGAGGGGAAUAGGGGUUUAAUGAUUUUGGAGCAGGGGC